GCCACAUCUGCAGAGUGCCACAGUGGUUUGUUAAUUUUUUUGCUUUUACUGACAAGCCCAAUGCAAUUUUCUGUUGCCUUCAGCAGUGCAACUUUUAAAUAAUCCCACUUCUCUUGGCCUCCAUUUAAACUGCUCCAGUCUGAUAAUGACAGUAGAGGCAUGUGAAGUAAGUUCAGUAGGUGUACAAGGUAUGUAUAUUUUAUUUAUACAGUGCUAUCAGGUGUACUCAGCACUUUACAAGUUACAUUGCAGUACAAGGAUGUAUAGUAAGGGCAGUAAUUAAUUAAAAAUCACACAAAUUACUCAGUAUCAUACAGGAAUUACUUUAUUGGCAAGACAGUAAAAUAUGGCGAAUUGAAACAUGUGCAAUUCAGUUAUCAAUUAAUCACAAUUUUAUGGAUACCAUGCCUCACCCUUCCUCCAUUUCUGGUAACAAAUGGCAGAAUGCACAAGACGUUGGCAAUAAAAUACAGCCCCCUCCAGAUGUUUCAAGGAGCAGAGCUCCCAAGAUGUUCUGUAACCCUAUGGGUGGGCGAGAAUCGUAGAAAAAAAUAGUCAGCAUCUGGUGUGAUUUGAUUUUAACAUUCCAGCGGUACCCUAUGGUAAUGUAUCAGAAGAGUGGUUACUUAGCACUGCAGCAAUUAAUCUCUUUCUAGAUGCACGCCUUGAUCUUCCUUCUCCCGAGGUAUGAAAGCUUACUUUAAUGCAAAAAUCUUAGCUAUGAAUUUCAUCUUUAUGUGCAUUUCAUAAAAGGGCCCUCUUGUGAUGCUAAUCCCUUCUGUCUGGGAAUUUUGGAUUUCUGAUGUUGACAUAUAAAGGGUAUUAUAUAAUCUCUCCUCUCAGCAGUGAGAACGCAUGACAUUGCACUUGUAAUAUAUAGUGUAAAUAAAAAGGGGACGGGGGUCUUUUUCUCAAAUUUCUGAUUCUACAGCAUAAAAUUUGUUGGGUUGUUUUUAUUUCCAGGCUAACUUACAGACCCAAUAAAAGCCGUAGUGGUCUCUGACAGCAGGAGCUUGUGACAGUUCCGAGGCUUUGUAAGAAAGCAGCAACGUCACUUUAAGAUCACAUGGAAGUGAGUUUAUCGAUACAGAAGCAUGAGGACAACAUCCGCAUACAUCCCUGGGCACAGGAUCUUCGCUGGUUUCUAAGCAUUAAUUAGUAUCACAGGAAAAGAUUGAUAACAUGUGUCGGGGUGAUCAUAUGCUUUUCAUUUUGCACCAUACAUGUAGCUCAUAAAAUAUCCCGAACACUCUGCACACAGUACAACUUAGAAAAAGUACAGUUUCCAAACAAAAUGGGUCAUUCAUAGAUUCAAUAAUGCUACGGGCUGUGUGAUGUCACUGUCAGUCCAAACUCACAUGGGGAUUAAUUACUUCUGAAAGCAGCCGCUCAUUUAUGUAUCUUGUGCAUUGUUUGGUUUACUUUUACUUUAGUGAGUGAUAUUCACUUAUUUAAAAAUUUGCAGCAUGUUACAGAGACGUUAACUAACCAAAAUAUAUAUAUAUAAAGUUGUACUCAAAAGUCACCCUGGCAGAAAUUGUGAAAUUUUGGCAUUGAUUUUGAAAAUAUGACUGAUCAUGCAAAAGAAUGUAUUUUAUAGAAGGAUAGUGAUCACGUGAAGCCACUUAUUAUCAAAUAGUUGUUUGGCUCCUUUUUAAAUCAUAAUGAUAACCAAAAUUGCCCAAAUGGCCCAGAUCAAAAGUUUACAUACCCUUGAAUGUUUGGCCUUGUUACAAACAAACAAGGUGACUCACAUGGGUUAAAAUGGCAAUUAAAGGUACAUUUUCCACACCUAUGGCUUUUUAAAUUGCAAUUAGUGUCUGUGUAUAAAUAGUCAAUGAGUUUGUUAGCUCUCACAUGGAUGCACUGAGCAGGCUAGAUACUGAGCUAUGGGGAGCAGAAAAAACUUUAUAAAGAUUGAAAAGUAUGGGACGCUCUUGGACUUUCCAUCAUGACAAUGACCCUAAGCACAAGGCCAAGUUCACCCUCCAGUGGUUACAGCAGAAAAAGGUCAGUCUCCUGACCUUAAUAUCAUCGAGCCACUCUAGGGAGAUCUCAAACGUGUGGUUCAUGCAAGAUGACCAAUGACUUUGCAUGACCUGGAGGCAUUUUGCUGAGACGACUGGGCAGCUAUACCACCUGCAAAAAUCAGGGACAUCACAGACAACUAUUACAAAAGACUGCACGCUACCAUUGAUGCUAAAGGGGGCAAUACACAGUAUUAAGAACUAAAGGUAUGCAGACUUUUGAAUAGGGGUCAUUUGAUUUUUUUCUUUGUUGCCAUGUUUCGUUUUAUAAUUGUGCCAUUCUGUUAUAACCUAUAGUUUAAUAUGAAUCGCAUAAGAAAUAAAAGAAAUGUGUUUUGCCUGCUCACUCAUGUUUUCUUUAAAAAUGGCACAUAUAUUACCA